rnacentral:rRNA from 1 species
AUACAGAGGGUGCGAGCGUUAAUCGGAAUUACUGGGCGUAAAGCGCGCGUAGGCGGUUUGUUAAGUCGGAUGUGAAAUCCCGGGGCCCAACCCCGGAACUGCAUUCGAAACUGCCUCGCUAGAGUCUCGGAGAGGAAGGCGGAAUUCCCGGUGUAGAGGUGAAAGUCGUAGAUAUCGGGAGGAACACCAGCGGCGAAGGCGGCCUUCUGGACGAUGACUGACGCUGAGGUGCGAAAGCGUGGGGAGCAAACAGGAUUAGAAACCCCAGUAGUCC